GGGGACAUAGCUCAGCUGGUAGAGCACUACGCUGGCAGCGUAGGGGUCACGGGUUCGAGUCCCGUUGUCUCCACCA
rnacentral:tRNA from 1 species